AAAUUCAACAUCGUAUACUUUGUGACACUCCCUCCAGGACGACUAACGUCUUCAAUGACUGCACCUCUUAUUUCCAUAAUCAUUAUCUUUUUGUACUAACUGCAUUAUUUUUACUUGAACAAAAAGGUUGUAAUUCCCGCCUCACGGUUCCGAGUCAUGAUACAACUGAUCUCCUGUUUCCCUAGCAUGCAACCUUCCGGAAACCGCUUUGUUUCCCUAUUUGUCGGACACUGACUUCAGGGAGGCCCGGUCGGCCUCUUUGGUGAGCACGGUGUUGAGCUGAUCACUGGUGCGCCCUUAAUAACGCCGGCGGGACUCACCCCAAUCCGAAACCCACCAUCCCGACGUGCUUUUGAGUGGCGUUCUGCCCGUUCUUAACGCGCGAGCUACUGCACGCUAUUCUCACAGCCGGGAUGGGCUUCUUUAACCACGUGAAGUACUUGUAUGAACUAUGAAAAUAAACCCUGGCUUGGCUUUUCUGAGGAAGUUCAAGCACCUAAUUAACCCCUGGUGGAGAAAAAGCCACGCACUCUCACGCGAUUGGAGAUCAGAGUUGGAGCCUGAGGGUGAAAGCCUCAUGCUGAGAAGAGUGGAGCGGGAAGAUAAAGCAUGGCAACAUUGAUGACACCCUAGGCCUAAUACACCAGCCCUGACCUGCUUACCUUCUCUCAUUUGUAGGCUAUGUAGUCCAGUCACUUUUACGUGCAGCUGAGUACAACCCUAAAUGAUAUAUCAAUCGCUUCAGUGACCAUUUAUAUGUCAAUAGCUUGCACAUUUAUUAUUUGCAACCAAAGUAUCUCUGGAGGUACUCAUGUGCAUAUACAGUAUUACUGGAAACUUCUACUUGGAUAUCCUCCAGGCAACUCGAAUAUUUUAACAUGGCCAAAGCACAUCUUGUCCUCCAACCUACUCCC
ensembl:lncRNA novel transcript